GACGAACGCUGGCGGCGUGCCUAACACAUGCAAGUCGAGCGAUGAAAUUAGAAACGGAGUCUUCGGACGAAGUGGAAAAUGGAUUAGCGGCGGACGGGUGAGUAACACGUGAGCAACCUGCCUAUCACAUCGGGAUAGCCUCGGGAAACUGGGAUUAAUACCGAAUGAAACAUAAUCACUGCCUAGUGGAAAUGUCAAAGAUUUAUCGGUGAUAGAUGGGCUCGCGUCUGAUUAGCUAGUUGGUGAGGUAAUGGCUCACCAAGGCGACGAUCAGUAGCCGGCCUGAGAGGGUGAACGGCCACAUUGGGACUGAGACACGGCCCAAACUCCUACGGGAGGCAGCAGUGGGGAAUAUCGCACAAUGGAGGGAACUCUGAUGCAGCGACGCCGCGUGAGUGAUGAAGGCUUUCGAGUCGUAAAGCUCUGUCGAAUGGGAAGAUAAUGACGGUACCAUUUGAGAAAGCCCCGGCUAACUACGUGCCAGCCGCCGCCGUAA
rnacentral:rRNA from 1 species